AGGAAGGAAGACAAGCACUGGGAUUACACCGGGCAGCUCUGCCUUUGGGAGCCAAUACCCUCAUUAAUUAAUUAAGGGAUCAUCUCUGCUUCCAGGGAACAGGAGGCUGCCGAGACUUGAUUAGUCACAAGAAUGUUUAAUCCCCACCCCAAGCUGCUGGCUGCCUCUCCCAGAGGUGCCAGGGAUGAUUCCUGAAUACACAGAGCUGGGGGAUGAGGGCAGCUUACAUCCCACACCCCAAACGUCCCAUCCCACAUAAGGUAUCCCGCGUCCCACAUCCCCAUCCCGCAUCGUGUCCUGUAUCCUGCAUGCCACAAGCUGCAUCCCAUAUCCCAAAUCCUGUAUCCUGCACUCCACAUCCCAAUCCUGCAUCCUGCAACCCACAGCCUGCAUCCCAUGCCUGCAUCCCAUACCCUGCGUCCCAUUCCUACAUCCCAUUCCUCCACCCCGCAUCAUGCAUCCCCCAGGCUGCAUCCCACAUCUUGCAUCCCAUAUCCUGUCUUCCAGCUUGUAUCGCAAUCCUGCAUCAUGUCCUGCAUUCCAUAUCCCACAGCCUGUAUCCCAUACCCUGCAUCCCAUUCUUGCACGCUGCAUCCUGCAGGCCAUACUCUUCAUCCUCUAUCCUGCACCCUGUUUUUAAAUCCCAACUCUGCAUCCCAGUCCUUCAUCUCACAUCCGCGUGCUGCAUCAAGUCUUGUAUCCUCCAUCCCACAAGCUGCAUCCUUUACCCUGCCUCCCAUAUCCCAAAUCCCACAUCUUGCAACCCACAUCCCAACCCUGCAUCCUACUCCUGCACCAUGUUCUGUAUCCCACAUCCCAUUCCUGCAUCCCAUAUUCUGAAUCCCACAUCCCAGUCCUGCAUCUCACAUCUCAGUCCUGCUUCAUGUCCUGUAUCCCGCAUCCAGCACCCUACAUCCCAUAGCCCGCAUCCCACACCCCAUUCCUGCAUCCCAUUCCCAUAUUGUGUUCAGCAUUCUGCAUCCCAUUCCCACAUCCCAUUCCUGCAUCCCAUUCCCACAUCAUGUUUAGCAUCCCACUUCCCAUUCCCAUAUCCCAUUCCUGCAUCCCAUUCCCACAUCACGUUCAGCAUCCUGCAUCCCAUUCCCACUUCCCAUUCCCACAUCCCAUUCCUGCAUCCCGUUCCCACAUUGUGCUCAGAAUCCCACAUCCCAUUCCCUCAUCCUAUUCCUGCAUCCCAUUCUCACAUCCCUUUCCUGCAUCCCAAUCCUGCAUCAUGUUCAGCAUCCCAUAACCCUUUCCUGCAUCCCAAUCCCACAUCGUUUAGCAUCCUGCAUCCCAUUCCCACAUCCCAUUCCUGCAUCCCAAUCCUUCAUUGUGUUCACCAUCCCACAUCCCAUUCCCACAUCCCAUUCCUGCAUCCCAUUCCCACA
rnacentral:lncRNA from 1 species